UCUAAGACCCCCCACAUGUUGUGAAUUUGGUUGGAGUAAAGAUCUAAGGGUCCAUACUGGGCUAUAAAAAUAGUGUAGUACUUGAGCAGUACUGUAAAAAUGGCAAUUAUAAAUAAUUAUGAGUGUUGAGGAGGUAAUAUGAACACUCAAGUUCAAAGCAGUAAAAUAAAAAUUAAAAAAAAAAGACAGACUUAGGUAAGCCAUCUAUCAACUCGGAGAAUGCUGAUGCUUUGUUGAAAGAGAGCUUUGUCUUACAAAUUAGGCACUUAUAAAAACUCAUCACUCACUGCAGAUGUUACUUUAAGACAUUCUGGAGCAGCGUCAUGUGCAGGAACAAUAAGGAAGUGAGUGCUUUUGUAAUUCCUGAACAACUGUGUCUUACACUUACUAAGUUCUCUUGCCUGCCACCAUGUAAGAUAUGCUUUUACUCUUCCGCCUUCCACCGUGACUGUGAGGCCUCCCCAGCCAUGUGAAACUGCCUUUGAGCUUAUACUGAAUUAUACCACCAGCUUUCCUAGGUCUUGAAGCUUACAGACAGCAGAUCUUGGGACUUCUCAGGCACCAUAAUCAAUCAUAGAUAAAUGAUCCAAUGAUUCGGAACUUGAAAAGUGGUAGCUUUAUGAAUUCUCCUUAAGAAGAAACCUGUGCCCUGAUCUUGCCUACUCACCCAAAGGCACUGUGAGAUAGCAUCAAAGGAACAGCUAGUAAGAGACACAGAGCCAGAAAUCAGGGAAGUAAAAUACACUUGACAUCUACGUUCGGAAAGAAAUUUUAGGAGGCAGAAGCAAAUGGAUCAGAAGCUGCUUAUAUUUUUGCAAGAUUACCAAAGAAACCAUUGGUGGAGAAAGUUCUGUGACCAACUUGUCUGAGUCUAGUAAGAUUGAACGCUCACACACAAGUUUCAUGAAGUGGGUUUGAUACUUACAGAUAAGCAGCAAGGACCAACAGAAGCUGAUGAUCUAUGGUGAACUUUUUCCCAAGGCUCCGGAAAGCUGCCUAAAGUAGAUGGAGUCUUCUCUGUGUGUGCCCCACUGGUCCUGCAGUUGAAGGAUCCGGUAAAGCAGCCUGCCCUUGGUUUUAUACUCCAGAGGAACGUGAUUCGCUGGACUAAAGCAUUGAAGUGCAUCCUGUUUCCGGGGGGCACUGGAACAGAGCCUGGUCUGUUCUAGCCAGUCCCUUUCUAUCUCAGGAUAACAUUCUACAGUUAUUCUUGAGAACUAUAAUCAAAUAAGCAGGGAGAACUGGGAAAGCAGAGGCUCAUUGUGGAACCCUCAAGGAGCAUGGGGUCGUCUUCAUCCCUCAGUUUAUAAAUGGCCAAGGAGAGUAAUGCAACAAAAACUUCUCAGAGUUAAAAGCCAGAGUUCCUAAAGAACCGUGGACAAAGGGUUCUGUCUAGUGGGCAGAAUUCAUCCAGCGAAGGUGCUUACUGCACUCCCAGCAUGUGCUUGGGAACUUUAUUAAAAUUCCUUCCUAUUGAGAUUUAAAUUGCUGUCCAGAAUUAUACAAUAUAAUGAAUGGGGGCAUUCAUUAUGUGUAUUCUAUGCCUUCUCCAUCAUUGCAUAUUCAGUCCUCGUGCUAGAGAGAGGCAGAUAAUCUACCUUUUAAAUUGAUAGGUCUCCUAACUACAGAGGGUCACAUCUGGAUCUGAUGGCACCUACAGAACUUGGACUCUGAGCGACAAUCAGUGACCAGGUGUGACUUUAUAUUAUCUCUGUCAGGGAAGGGUGAGAGUUUUCAAUGUGUGAACAUAGAAUAAAAUGGUCUGGUGACCAAAAGGCUCUAUUAAAGAUAAUAUGAGAUGUUCAAAACACUGGCUAUUUUCUUGGGAACAAAAGUUGAACUUCUAAAUCUUUCUCACAGAUUGUAGACCAAAGGAAUGAAUUCUGAUUGGCAGAAUAUAAGCCUACGUAAUAUAAAAAAGACUUCCAGGUUUGGCCCUCUGAGUCUUGACUCAUUACACACCAUCUCACAGCCUUAUUUUGCCUUUCAACAGGAAAUUUGGAACCCAGGUUUUCCCAACCUACAUCUACAAAAUGGAAUGGGUCUGAUUCGCAAGUUUUCAGAGAAAGAAGCCAACCUUAAUCAGACUGUGAUAUGAUGAGGAAAUAAAACUUGCUGUGCUAAUCAACUGAUACUGGGAAGCAUG
rnacentral:lncRNA from 1 species